rnacentral:rRNA from 1 species
UGAAGAACGCAGCGAAAUGCGAUACGCAAUGCGAAUUGCAGAACCGCGAGUCAUCAGAUCUUUG